rnacentral:lncRNA from 1 species
GUGAGCCCUACUAUAUGUAUGUUUUGUGUCUGGGGGGUGGGUGGUAUGUGUAUGUGGUGUGUGUGUUCUAUGUGUGUGGUGAGUGUGUGUGUAUGUGGUGUGGUAUGUGUGUCAUGUAUGUGUGUUUGGUAUGUGUAUAUGUGGUGUGUGGUGAGUAUGAUGUAUGUGUGUGGUAUGUGUGUGUGGUGUGUAUGUGUGUGUGUAUGUGGUGUGUGUGUUGUAUGUGUGUGGUGUGUGGGGAGGUGAGUAUGUGUGUAUGGUGAGUGUGUAUAUGUGGUGUGUAGUGAGUUUUGUAUGUGUGUGGUAUAUGUGGUGAGUGUGUGUAUGUGGUAUGUGUGUUGUAUGUGUGUGGUGUGUGGGGAGGUGAGUAUGUGUGUGGUGAGUGUGUAUAUGUGGUGUGUGGUGAGUUUUGUAUGUGUGUGGUAUAUGUGUGUGUGGUGAGUGUAUGUAUGUGGUGUGUGUGCGUGGUGGGUAUGCAUGUGGUAUGAGGUGAGUGUGUGUGUGUUGUAUGUGUAUAUGUUGUGUGUGUGUGGUCAGCAGAUUGGGCCUGGCUGGACCUGGCUUGGCUGCUGGCUGUAGGAGGACUGAGAUACCAUGGACCUUCCCAUAGUAGAUGUCCCCAGAAUGGGAAGAAAAAGCUAUGUCUUGCUCAUUCUCAGAGCAGGCUAGAGUGACACCAU